rnacentral:rRNA from 1 species
GUGGGGAAUUUUGGACAAUGGGCGCAAGCCUGAUCCAGCAAUGCCGCGUGCAGGAAGAAGGCCUUCGGGUUGUAAACUGCUUUUGUACGGAACGAAACGGUCCUGGCUAAUAUCCGGGGCUAAUGACGGUACCGUAAGAAUAAGCACCGGCUAACUACGUGCCAGCAGCCGCGGUAAUACGUAGGGUGCGAGCGUUAAUCGGAAUUACUGGGCGUAAAGCGUGCGCAGGCGGUGCUGUAAGACAGGCGUGAAAUCCCCGGGCUCAACCAGGGAAUUGCGCUUGUGACUGCAGGGCUGGAGUGCGGCAGAGGGGGAUGGAAUUCCGCGUGUAGCAGUGAAAUGCGUAGAUAUGCGGAGGAACACCGAUGGCGAAGGCAAUCCCCUGGGCCUGCACUGACGCUCAUGCACGAAAGCGUGGGGAGCAAACAGGAUUAGAAACCCUAGUAGUCC